GCUCAACCGAGGAAGUGCUUCGAAAACUGGUAAACUUGAGUGCAGAAGAGGAAAGUGGAACUCCAUGUGUAGCGGUGGAAUGCGUAGAUAUAUGGAAGAACACCAGUGGCGAAGGCGGCUUUCUGGUCUGUAACAGACGCUGAGAUUCGAAAGCAUGGGUAGCAAACAGGAUUAGAUACCCUGGUAGUCCAUGCCGUAAACGAUGAGUGCUAAGUGUUGGAGGGUUUCCGCCCUUCAGUGCUGCAGCUAACGCAUUAAGCACUCCGCCUGGGGAGUACGACCGCAAGGUUGAAACUCAAAGGAAUUGACGGGGGCCCGCACAAGCGGUGGAGCAUGUGGUUUAAUUCGAAGCAACGCGAAGAACCUUACCAGGUCUUGACAUAUCAUGAAAAGCUUAGAGAUAAGUCUUUCCCUUCGGGGACAUGGAUACAGGUGGUGCAUGGUUGUCGUCAGCUCGUGUCGUGAGAUGUUGGGUUAAGUCCCGCAACGAGCGUAACCCUUAUUAUCAGUUGCCAGCAUUCAGUUGGGCACUCUGGUGAGACUGCCGGUGACAAACCGGAGGAAGGUGGGGACGACGUCAAAUCAUCAUGCCCCUUAUGACCUGGGCUACACACGUGCUACAAUGGUCGGUACAACG
rnacentral:rRNA from 1 species